rnacentral:rRNA from 1 species
AUGGAAGGGCUGGACGAGGUGGCCAAGGACUGGAAGGACAGCACGCGCGACCUCAGCUACGACAUGGAGGAGUGCAUCGACCGCUACAUGCUCCGCCUCGGCAACGGGGAGGUCAAGCCCAAGUUCGUGAAGAAGACCAUGCGCAGGAUCAAGACGAUCUUUGAGCGCCAUGGCAUCGGGUCCCAGAUCAAAGAGCUCAAGGACCGCGUCGAGGAGGAGAGCAAAAGGCGGCAGACACUGAAUCUCGACAAGUAUGCAGAAAAUCGCCCGGUGGCAAUAGACCCCCGGCUGGCUGCGUUCCACAGGGCGGCCAAGGACUUGGUGGGCAUGGACGGCCGCAGGGAUGAGGUUAUCUCUUUGUUGACGGAGCAGAGCGUGAAGCUGAAGGUGGUGUACAUUGUUGGAGGUGGGGGGCUGGGAAAGACCACCCUUGCAAUGGAGGCCUUUGGCAUGAUUGGAGGACAAUUCGGGUGCAAAGCUCAUGUGUCCGUGUCGCGCACCCCUGACCUCAAAAAGCUUUUGAAAGAUGUCCUUUCUCAAAUCGACCAAGAUGGGUUCAGUAGAUGUGAGGGGUGGGAGGACCACCAGCUAAUCCGUCAGAUCCAUCGGGCCUUGGCAGGAAAGAGGUACUUCCUUGUUAUCGAUGAUGUAUGGAAGGAGGGAGACUGGAAUUCUGUCAAGGCAGCUUUUCCUGACAAUAAUAAGCGGAGCAGAAUAAUUGUUACUACACGCAAUGACAAUCUAGCUAAGUCAGGUUGUUUUGGCGACUCUCGUCAUCACCGCUAUCAAAUGCUACCUUUGAGCGAUGUUCAUUCCCGAACAUUGUUCCUUCAGAGAAUUUCCCUCCAGUCUAACCCUCAUGCUCAGAGACUACAAGAGAUUUUAGAUGGUAUCUUAAGAAAAUGCGGAGGUUUGCCGCUGGCUAUAAUUACCAUUUCGAGUUUGCUAGCCAAUAAACCCCAAAACACAGAUGAAUGGGAGAGACUCCAAGCUUCUAUUGGUACUGGUCUUUCAUACCAGACUGAUGGCACAGGAAAAGGUAUGAGGGAUAUAUUGUUACUCAGUUACUGGGAUCUUCCACACCACUUGAAGACUUGUUUGUUGUACUUAUGUAUAUAUCCAGAGGACUGGCAUAUCUCAUGUGAAGAACUGAAAUGGAAGUGGAUAGCCGAGGGAUUCAUUGCAAGAGAACAGGGAAAUUUGUAUCUAGAAGCAGAGAGUUGUCUUCAUGAACUUGUCAAUAGAAGCCUGAUCCAGUUGGUCAAUUCUAAUGUUGACGAUGAUGGUUUAAAAAAAUAUUGUCAGGUUCAUGAUAUGGUGCUUGACCUUAUAAUAUCUCUGUCAGAUGGAGAGAAUUUUGCCACCAUUCUGAAUAGUGUCCGAAAUUCUUUGCCAAGCGGGAAGACCCGUCGUCUCUCUCUACAAUCUAGUGGGCUUGACCUGAAAAAGGCAAUACAUGACAUGACAAGAAGCAAGUUACAUGUCCGUUCAUUGCAUGUGUUUGUUGAAGCUAAGGAGAUACUCCCACUUGUGGACUUCCAGUCUUUGCGUGUGUUUGAUACAUGUGUUGGUCAUUGGUCAUGGAAAAAGGAGCAUAUCAGCAAUAUAGGAAGUUUCUAUCAACUGAGGUAUUUGAGAAUUCAAGGAAGAAAUAUCGAGGAGCUUCCUAAAGAUAUCGGAAAGCUACAGAACUUAGAGACGCUCGAUCUGAGGGGCACUUAUAUUAGAAAAUUGCCACCAACUAUAGCCCUGCUGACCAAACUGAUGUGCCUAUUCAUUGAGCACAACUAUGAUGUUGAGUUUUCUGCAGAUAUGUUUGGGUGCAUGCCAGCCCUGGAGGAAGUGUCAGAUAUCGGUAGAGUUGACAACCCUGAGAAAUUUUUGGCAGAGCUUGCACAUCGAAAAAAACUGAGGAAGAUCUCGAUGAAUUAUCUAUGGAUUGGGAAUGGGGAUCAGGAUAAUGUAAGAGGUUACAGAGAAAGACUGGCAUCUUCUCUAAAUGAGUUGUGCAACAAACACAACCUUAGAUAUCUUCAUUCUCAUGGACAUAUGGCAGAAUAUUUGUUCAGUGGUCCACACACCUUUGAGCGCCUCCAACAUCUUAAACUAGAUGUGUAUUACAUGGAAAAGCUUCCCAGGGGAAUGGCCUCCCUAACCAACAUACUCAAAUUGGAAAUGAGGGUGACACUAUUUGAUGAGGAAGGUCGCAAUAUUCUCAUGGGUAUGCCUUAUUUGACCUAUCUCCAGCUAGAUGUAAUGCGGUCGGCGCCUGAUGUCAUGAAUGUAAGUAGUGAGGGAUUCAACCUUCUAGAGGUGUUCGACUACGAAGUUAGAUUUGGAGCGAUACAAUUUGCAGCAGGUGCUAUGCCAGCACUCCGGCGGCUCCACCUUUCCUGCAGUGCAAAUUGUUUAAGGAAUGCUGAUAUUGACAUGGGCAUCGAGCAUCUUUCAAGCCUUGCACACCUCGAGCUCAAAACUGAUUGCAUUGGCGAAAGUCGUCACAGUGUGGAGGCUUUGGAGGAUUCCGUUAGAAAAGCAGUCGCCUUGCAUCCCAACCUUCACACUCUUCAACUCCAUGUCAGUAGAAGCUUUGAAAGUCAUCUAAGUUAG